rnacentral:SRP_RNA from 1 species
GCCAGGCGUUGUGGCGGGCGCCUGUGGUCCCAGCUACUUGGGAGGCUGAGGCAGGAGACUCGCUUGAGCCCAGGAGUUGGAGGUUGCUAUGAGCUGUGAUGCCAUGGCACUCUACCCAGGGGGAUAGCUUGAGGCUCUGUCUCAAAAAAAAAAAAAAAAAUUUUUUUUAUUUAUUAUCAAAUCAUAACUGUGUACAUUAAUAUUGCAAGGGCACAUGUCAAUCUAUUAAGAGUGUAAAUGUCUUUUUUGGGGGGACAGAGCCUCAAGCUGUCACCCUGGGUAGAGUGCUGUGGCAUCACAGUUCACAGCAACCUCCAACUCCUGGGCUCAAGCGAUUCUCCUGCCUCUG